CUUCACCGAGCCCAGCCACAGCGGCCGGUCCCGAUCCUGGCCGUAGGUCUCCAGCAACGCCUGCGCCUC
rfam:Saccharopolyspora erythraea NRRL2338 complete genome